rnacentral:rRNA from 1 species
UACGUAGGGGGCUAGCGUUGUCCGGAAUCAUUGGGCGUAAAGCGCGUGUAGGCGGUCCGGUAAGUCCGCUGUGAAAGUCGAGGGCUCAACCCUCGAAUGCCGGUGGAUACUGUCGGGCUUGAGUACGGGAGAGGCGAGUGGAAUUCCUGGUGUAGCGGUGAAAUGCGCAGAUAUCAGGAGGAACACCGGUGGCGAAGGCGGGUCUCUGGGCCGUAACUGACGCUGAGGAGCGAAAGCGUGGGGAGCAAACAGG